GAAGAGAUCCACAUUCAUGGUUAAGAGGUUUCAAGCCUCUUUUUCAUAACUCAAUAGACUUAUCACUCUUUCCGAGCCAAAGAUCAUCUAAAAUAAAAGACUAUAUUUUUACCGAUCUAGUCAAACUACAAGUAGUCUAAUUCCAUGAGUCUCAGGGAUAUGUAGGCUGGGCUCUAUGUUGCCAACUCGACUACAUUCCAACCCCCUCC
rnacentral:lncRNA from 1 species